CACAAGGUUUGGCUAAGUUUGCCAGUGUUAGUGGUGAUCAGUAUUGGUCCUCACAAACAUAAAUCAAUGGUUGUUGUUCUCUUUGCCACAUCCUACAACUCGCAAGGGUGGCGUUCAUACCAAUCUUAUGAAUGAAAAUUCAGGGAUACAUCCAACUGCACAUCCCAUCUUCUCUCACAGCAUCGUUCUCGCCGCUUUGAAAAAAAAGGCGAUCCAUCGUUUAUUUUUCUAGCCUUUCAUUGAAACAUGGAACAUGCAGAUUUCCUUUUAGGAUGUAUUUUGUUCAUAACAGCCGUUGAUUUAUCCAAUACCCCAUACCUGUUGGGGAAGUUUUUCCUGAUUUUGGUCUUUUAUUUCUUUACCAGGGAAGAUGAAUAAGUGCUCUGUGAUAAACAACAAUCAGAUUACAGGUUAUUUACAUUUAAAUCUGCCGUUACAAGCCUCCUAAUUUUAAACGGAACGUUUUAUUUUCUGCCCAUUAAUUGUCCUGGCAUUGAAAGAAUGUAAAUCGGCGGCCUACAUAAGUCACCAGAUUUUCAUUUGCAAAUCAUGCUCAAACACCACAUCUUCCCUCUUUUGAAAUUCUCCGCUGCCGUGAUUUCAGGUUUACAUAAUGUCUACUACAGUGCUUCCCACCUCCGCCUCUGCCGUACAGACUCCGGGAAUCCUAACAUUGGAAGACUUUCAGCAAAAAAAUGGAAUCGGGCCAUUGAUGACCCGAGUUCGCGUUGUUCGGAUGUGGCAUGAAUCGGACUUCAUGAGAACAAAUGAUGUUACCAGCCUUGAUUUGCUCCCGCUGGAUGACACCGGUGACCUGCUACAUGCAAUUGUUAAGAACAAAUUCAUCUGGAAAUUUGAACCCCUGCUAGAAGAGGGGAUGCUGUUGUGUCUUAACAAGAAAGCUUAUUAUGUUGGAAUAUAUUAUCUGGCAACCGUUGAGGAACAACCUCCAAUGAAUCGAACAACAACAGUAGCAUGACUACCAUCCAAAGGGACCAAGCAAUCCAUUCUACAUAUGAACAAAUACACAGGAUGUCAAUUGCUAUGCUAUGUAGGAAGAAAAUGAAAUCCGAAAUUGAGCAUGUACUGUCUGGAAUGCGGCCAGGAAUUUGAGGAAAGAAGGCACAAGAAGAUGUGUCCAGAGUGCUUGAAAUACAUGAACUCAACCCCAGUACUACAUUUGACAAUGAUGGUUACUGAUGGGACGGAAUCGGCAAUAUUCUAAGCAAAAGGAACUGCAGCGGAAAAACUGCUGGGACAUUCGGCUGAUUACUUGGUGCGAAUGAAACAGAAGCACGGAGUUCAGCAUGUGUUCAAAGUUCUGUACGAGGUCCUGCAUCGCCAGAUUGUAUUCCAGGUGCAGAUAGGAACAGAAGGAGGUAAUAGGGACAAGAAUUUUGAAGUUACGAAAGCAUUCAUCAAGAGAAACUGCUGGGCACAAUUAUAUGUUGAAGAUUUAAUGGAAGAGGAACAACAUACCACGCUGGAGAGUUUGUAUCAUCCGUUUGAUGCCAAAAAAUACUAUUUGGAUGCAAUAAAAUCAUAUUCUCAACCUAUUUGGAGGAUUGGCAACAUGACAAUAACAGAUGAGUCGGCUGAAAUGAAAGGUUUAACAGAUAUAAUGGGGAAAUGUGCUAUCAAAGAGGAGUACGGGGAGACUUCUACGGAGGUUAUCGAUUAGUUGAGUUCAAUGAGAAGGGAGCUGCUGACAAAUAAAACAAUACUAGGAAUCGUCAAUCAUGUUUCUUUAUGUUUUUGCAUUUUUUUUUGUUGUGGUUCCCUUUCUGCAUUUAGUACGUAUGUUUCUGUUACUGCAUUCUGUUGAGGUGUAGCUCCCUUUUCUACAUGUUAAUCUUAGUACCUUUUAUUUGUUUGACAGACGCAGUUAAAUUUUAGAAGAUUCACUGUGUAA